ACAACCCGCCGAAAGGCGGGCUAAACCCGCGUACAUGCCACCGGGGCAUCCCGGAGGCAGGAAAGGCUUCGGCCGGACAGGGAUGGGCAUGCGGCGCAUUAGGCAGUAGGCGGGGUAACGGCCCACCUAACCGACGAUGCGUAGGGGUUCUGAGAGGAAGGUCCCCCACACUGGUACUGAGACACGGACCAGACUCCUACGGGAGGCAGCAGUGAGGAAUAUUGGUCAAUGGUCGGGAGACUGAACCAGCCAAGCCGCGUGAGGGAGGAAGGUACAGAGUAUCGUAAACCUCUUUUGUCAGGGAACAAAGACUGGGACGCGUCCCCGGAUGAGUGUACCUGAAGAAAAAGCAUCGGCUAACUCCGUGCCAGCAGCCGCGGUAAUACGGAGGAUGCGAGCGUUAUCCGGAUUUAUUGGGUUUAAAGGGUGCGCAGGCGGUCUGUUAAGUCAGCGGUCAAAGCCCGGGGCUCAACCCCGGCCCGCCGUUGAAACUGGCAGUCUCGAGUUGGAGAGAAGUAUGCGGAAUGCGCGGUGUAGCGGUGAAAUGCAUAGAUAUCGCGCAGAACUCCGAUUGCGAAGGCAGCAUGCCGGCUCCACACUGACGCUGAGGCACGAAAGCGUGGGUAUCGAACAGGAUUAGAUACCCUGGUAGUCCACGCAGUAAACGAUGAAUGCUGGCUGUCCGGGGGGACUGACCCCUGGGUG
rnacentral:rRNA from 1 species